rnacentral:lncRNA from 1 species
GACUCCCUUCUCUUCCGGUACAUCCUAUUGUUUUAAAAAAUAAUAAUUUGUCCCUCUCAGUUUUUCCUCAUUUUAGGAACAUCAUGCUGGCUUGGCCGGUGCUGUUUUCUACUGCUCUGUGAGCACAUGCGGAGCAGCCUGCAGUGCAGGGUGCGCUGUUGUCCCACUCCCAGGGAAGGGAACCAAUGCCACACUAAUGCCUGUUCUACCCUGUCCCUCAUCGAGCCGGGCCCAGCGGUGGCAGCACGCACCAGGGCAGCUGCACCCAUCCAUCGCUAAGCACACACGUGCACUCCUGGUAGCACAAAGCACUCUGGACUUGUGCCUUGUUACCUGACCGCCUGCCUGUGAGAAACUACAGCAGCAGCAGCAGGACUGAAAGCUUCCUCCAUUGCCUGGGAGACAUGUGUUUCACAUUAUCUAGCAUAUAGCUGGAAUUAUUUAAGCACGGAAUAGUAUAGCCACUCACACAGCAGAGCUCAGGGUGUAACGCUGAGGCCACAAUGGAAGCUAGCAGAAGAAAGCAGAGAGUUUUGUACUGGGGACAGGGAAUGGGAGCACCAUGAUGUCACCAGACCAGCCACCAGAGCCAGGAAACCCAGGCAACUUCUAAAACGAGAAAGACUGUGAUAACUUUGACUGAAGUUCCUGCCAAGGAGAUUAUGAAGUGCACUUUGGGACCUGAGCUGAAACAAUGCCCAUCCCAUGAAUCCAAAGAAGCAGAUGAAAGCAGAGGACCUGUACGCACACUAAAGCUACAGUUUACUAUGAAGAAACUGCUCAGUCUCCCACAGUCAUAGAACCAUUGGAGUUUGGAGGGGACCUUCAAAGAUCUUCUAGUCCAACUCCUCUGCAAUGAACAGGGACACCUACAGCUUGAUCAGUUUGCUCAGAGUCCUGUCCAACCUGACCUUGAAUGUCUCCAAGGACAAAGCAUCCACCACUUCUCUGGGCAACAUCACUACCCUUACUGUAAAAACGUUUUUCUUAUAUCCAAUCCAAUGACAAAAUCAUUGACAAAGUAUCUUGCCGCUACAUGUGUAUAGGGACACAUAAAAUCUCAAGUAACAUAUGAAACAUUGUUUGUGGAAAAUAUAAUCAUCCAUCACCUAAAGGUCUACUUUUUGGCGCACUUAGAACCAACAACUCUUGCAUCUUACUCUAGUCAGCUUCAAUGCAUUUGCAGUUGCAGACACAUAAGACUGUGCCUCUGUCCUAGUAAAGAUCAAGAGUAAACAACAAUAAUAAGUGAUAACAAACCCUGGAAUCGCAGGCAUCAGCCGAGUGCAGCUUCUUUCUCCCAGCCAGGAGUCUGUUCAUGUGUGUUCAAGGCCAGCUCUGAUACAGUGCAACAGUGAACAAACUUGUAUGAGAAAGAAUUAUGAGCAGUCAUAGAAUCAUAAAAUCAUAGGCAUCAUCAUAGUCAUCUAGGGUCUGGGAGCUGCUUUUAGGCACAGGUUCCUACCACUGGUCCCUUAAGCCAUGUUGCAUUUAUAGCUGCACACAGAUGUCUAUCUUGAUUACUUGAGUUAGAUUUGUACUCCACUGUGUUUCUCUACAUUAUCUUCCUGGGUUUUGGCUACCAUGAUGAAAUAAGUCUUUGCAAAAAAGUUCAUCUCACAAAGGAACCCCUACUGGGAAUUUCCUUCCCAGUGCAGUUCUUUAGGAAGUCUAGUUUUUCAGUGAACGGAGUUUGGGUACAUGGACAUCUACUGGAGUUACAAUAUCAUGUAAUGGAUGCAGUUCAGUGUCACUUGGGCAUAAAAUUUACAACUUUGUACGAUCAGAUAAGGAUUCAUUUUUACAGGAGGCCUCUUUUUAUGCUAUUUUUGACUGUGAAAUUAAGUUAUAAAAUAGAAUCAGAACUCCAUCUUAUUAGAAGCUAUACAGCAUUCUUAUCCUGAAGGAGUCACAGUUGUGUUUGGAUGAAUCUUUGACUUUGAAAAGGACACAGCAGUUAUUUUGUGGUUCCAAGUGAAAAUUUUCUCGAUCUUAUCAUUGAAUGAGAAAUAGUAAAAACUUGUAAUGCAGAAAAUGCUGCUAUAAUUAUAUGAGCUACAUUAUAUGAGCUAUAUAAUUUAGAACCAGAACAAUAUAUUAUCACAUAAACCUGUGGAAGAAGAAUUUUCUGACAAACCUCUCAUUUCAUCAAAUAAAGAAAUUAAGGAAAGACAGUUGCAAAAGCAAGAUUGAACAGAAAAAUAUAGUGAUGGAUUACAACGGCAAAUGCUGACAUGGAUCUAGAGACAUCUCUAAUUAGUGUCAGGAAAUUUGAGUAUGUUCUCAUCCAGAGUUUUCUCUAAGCUGCACAUCUCUUAAGUAUAAAUCCCUGGGGAAUAAGACUUGUAACAUAACUGAUGGAAUAACAGUGAGAAGAAAAACAGUGUAUUCUCAAGUACACAGAGUGGAACUUGUCAUUAACAUUUACUGUCUUUUUACAAAGCCAGGUUUGCAUUUUAUAAUCAGGAUUCCAUGAACAAACCUGAGACUUCAGUGAAGAAUGGUUUUAUUUGAUCAGUUGACUGUUGAGUAACACUAAGAUAAACAAUGAACCAAUCAUUUUGUCUUACUCCUCUUUUCACUUUUGUAUGCCUGCCCCUUAUGGUGCCUGUAUACUUUUUGCCCUAUAAAGCAAUACAUUCAAAAAAAGAUUAUUCAAGGACAAUAAAAAAUAGACCUGAAUUGAUGCUUAGUUCCAAUAAUGAAAUUUCAAGAUUUGUAGUGAAGCCAUAGGUUACCAUGAGCUGAAAGAAUUGAGAUGGAGGAAAUGUUUACGUUGGAAAAGAAUACAAUGUGCUCUCCCACCAUGUGGGGUGAAGGGCAUUUUUGUGAAAUGCCCAGCUCAAGCUAUGCUGAACAAGUCAGUUUGACCAUGUGAACUCCCCCACCACCUAAAAACCUAGGGUCCUGCUCUUAUGUGCCUGAGAUUUGGGGUGGCAAAAGGGAAGAGUUGGGGGGGGGGAGCUUUCCCACUCUACUUUUUCCCCUCUUUUUUCUCAUAAUCUGUCUGGAACUCUAUCUUUUUUAAUGCAACUGUAAAACAAGCGAAAUGAAGCUGACAGCAGGUGCUGUGAUCAGUGCUGAUAUAACCCUGUCUCAGCCCUGGACAUCUGAUCAGAAUGUACGCUGUGCCUGAGGUUCUCCAGUUGUGAUUAUCUUAGUCAUACCUUAGGCAGAAACUGCAUUUUCUGUCUUGUUUCUCUUUUCUGACCCCUUCUUUGAACGUUCUUUUAUUCCUUCUGGAAAGAGGAUCAGGUUGAGUAGCAACAGAAAAGCUAGGAACUCCAAAAAAGCUCAAUUGUCUUCUCUUUUUAUUCCAGAAGAACUGUUAUUACUGUUACUAAAAGACAGUCAAAGAAGGGAGUUUCCCUAUAAGAACUCCUUGCUGCUAAGGGGGAAAGAGAUAAUAUUUAACUCUAAAUCUUUUACUCUAUAUUCACUCUACAUUUCAAGUGACUUAGCAGUUUUUCCUUUUUCAGGGUCUGUAAUCAAAGGAUAGAUUUGGAAUGCUGGUUAUUACAAUGGGAGUUUGCCAGCAAUAACUUGAAACCCAGAUAAUGCUUCACUGUUUAUGUUGUAACUGUGAGCAAGUUAUACUGACAUCUUAUCUUUUGUUGGGCACAAGAUAGGUUAUGUUCAACACAGCUCUCAUAUCACUUAGGAAAAGUAAAACUUGUUUGUCUUCUCUAUAGUUUAACAGAAGAGCGCAUUCCCAACUGCUUAUAGCCUUGCUAAGUUUUUAUUGUUUGCAUUCUGGAACCAUUCCCUGCUGUACGUAUACCUCAGAGACUUGCUCGGGAAAGCGUCAGCUAAAGCACUUCAGUCACUUCCAAGAACAAGAUUUCUAAGAAUUUUGAUUAAAAAGCUCAGAGGUGAGGAGUGUGAUAGUGGGGCUGACUGGGCAAGAACCCAUAGGGCACAGGUCCUGUGCAAAGAAUAGUAAGCAAUAACAUAAUUUAUCAUAAUGCAAACUCACUCAUAAAGAGACUGAAAUAAGGAGGCAAAAGAAACUUGAAACACUUGAACUUCAUAAUUUAUAAGAAUUUGACUUGCAACAUUAAUACUGUUCUUUUAGUGUGGUGUUUUGGUGCAUAUCAAUUUCUAAGACACUACUGCUAUAGAAAGAAAUAACGUACUUCUGUUAAUUGUGAACAUGAACCAUACUGGAGGUUGGGAAUCUUGAUGUAGACUUCAGCUUUCUGUAAUGUAGACUUUCAGCAAACCAGUAUGGAAAACAAAUGCCUGGCUAGCAAGCAACUGAAGAGUGUAAGUGUAGUUGCAAGCAACUACAGCAAGUCAAUAUUUCUGACUCACUUUUUCCAGAAUGAGAGGUCGCUCAUGGAUACAACUUUAAAUAAAACAGAAGAUGAGGCUUUAGUUUUUGCAUGUCUAGCAAAAAUAUCAUGAAAACUAUUCGUAAAUGGUGUCCUUACUUAAGUAAACUUUUGUCAGAUCUAGGCAAUUUGGCGUGCCUUUUGUUUAUAAACUUGAACUUUGAAAAGCUUCCUCUGUUUUUGUAAUUACACGGUGAAAUAAAAAGAGGAUUUCUUUUUCCAGAGUUUUGCCUUUCUCAUUUGUCUCCAAAUAUAUUACACUAUAGACAACAAAAAGACACAAUAUUUUUAUGUUUAAAAACAAAUGAGAACUUAGUCCCCAUGAGACUUUGAGCUUCUUCAAUUUCCAGUCAUAGCAGGGGGCUUAGCACCUCAAAGAAUCAAGCAUAAGAAAGUCAUGGCAUUUUCAGAGGGAAAAAAAAAAAAAAAAAAGAAUGACAUAUCUUU